UCUCUAAUCUUGAUCACAUUUGCAAAGUCCCUUUUGCCACGUAACAGAACAUUUUCACGGGCUCCAGGGAUAAGGGGGAGGGUGUCUUUUCUGGGAGCAGGAAUCAGGGGUCAGGAGUGGUAGGACAGGGGCCUGCUUGUUUGUUUUUUUAUAAGCCCCGUGGUAUUCUUUGACUUUUUCACUUAAGUACGUGCUGCAUUUUGACCGAAUGAAACCCCAAAAGUUUAAUUCCGUAGCCAAAUAUGUGAGUAUCGAGUUCCAAGGGACCCUAUGUUAGGUCGCGUAUCAAACGUAGUCACUAGGCACGUGAUCGGUAUUACACAAAAUCCAUUUUUGUGUUUCUAGGCAAAAUGACGUAAGAUCUGCAACACGUGUUAAGGAGUAUUUGUUGGGCGCAGUCGUGGCGGGGGCCCUUGUGAAAAUUCUGCUUUGGACGGGCCACCGGGCUCAUCCGGUGGCCCACCUCCUGCGUUCUUACCGUCGUGUUAAAGGACCCGCUCUGGUUACUACUGGCAGCUGCUGCUCGUGGCUAGCUACUUCCUGUAGCAACGAUGAGAACACGGAUGCCCGGGGAGACGAAGGGGCCCUGCCCACGGCAUUGCUAGCGUCCGCAGCAAAGACCCUCACUCCGCAAGUCACGUUGCUCUGAGCAAAGCAGCCUCCCCCCGACUAACCACCUGAAGCUCAGCCAAAACUUACUCACUUCUAAGUUCCUAGCGCCUCGUCCGUUGCCUAGCACCUAGGUGAAUCAAUGGGCAGAUGAAUCUUAAGAUGCUGUGAAAAGCUCACGUGAAUGAUUUAAAUUCUCCAACGGCUUCCGUUUGCCAGGCCAACUUGGCCAGUUUGCAAUAAAAUGUUUCUUCCUUA